AAGUCGUAACAAGGUUUCCGUAGGUGAACCUGCGGAAGGAUCAUUACGUUUAGUAGCCCAGCUACUAUCAGUGGGGUUCGUUAGUCUGCAUAGCUUAAUCGCUGAUGAGCAGCAAACCCCCUGUUUGUACCCUUGUUUUUUGCGCACCAAAAGUUUCCUCGGCGGGCUUGCUCGCCGGCUGGACAACACUAUAACCUUUUUACUAUUCAAUCAGCGUCUGAAAAACUUAAUAAUUACAACUUUCAACAACGGAUCUCUUGGUUCUG
rnacentral:misc_RNA from 1 species